rnacentral:piRNA from 1 species
UGAGAGAUUUUCUUGAGCCAAUGGCACGAGU